AAGCUUGAAGAUGAUGAACUCGUCUCCUACAUACUAGCGGGUCUCGACAUCGACUUUAACCCGCUGGUAUCUGCUAUUGCUGCGUGCGUGGAGCCCAUCUCCGCUGGGGAGCUCUUCACGCAGAUGACAAGCUUCGAGC